rnacentral:rRNA from 1 species
UACGAAGGGAGCGAGCGUUGUUCGGAAUCACUGGGCAUAAAGCGCACGUAGGCGGGUCAAGCAGUUGAAAGUGAAAGCCCUGGGCUCAACCCGGGAAUUGCUUUCAAUACCACUGACCUUGAGUGCGGGAGGGGUAACUGGAAUUCUUGGUGGAGCGGUGAAAUGCGUAGAUAUCAAGAGGAACGUCGGAGGCGAAAGCGAGUUACUGGCCCGUUACUGACGCUAAGGUGCGAAAGCUAGGGGAGCAAACAGG